rnacentral:lncRNA from 12 species
CCCCCCCCCCCCCCCCCCCCCCCCCCCCCCCCCCCCCCCCCCCCCCCCCCCCCCCCCCCCCCCCCCCCCCCCCUACAUCCGGCUGGCGCUGGGCAGCGAGGAGCGCCCGGCCUGCGCCGACCUGGCCGAGGAGCUGCGGCGCAAGCUGCAGCAGCGCCAGCCCCUGCCCGACUCCAACCCCGAGGAGUCGUCGGUGUGAGCGGCGCCUUCCUCGGCUCCGGGGGCCGGCGCGGUGCGGGCACGGCACGGCAUGGCACCGGUACCCGGCUGGGAUGGACACCUGGCAUUGGUACCUGGCUAGGAUGGACACCUGGCAUUGGUACCCAGCUGGGAUGGACACCUGGCAUUGGUACCUGGCUGGGAUGGACACCUGGCAUUGAUACCUGGCUGGGAUGGACACCUGGCACUGGUACCCGGCUGGACACGGACUCCUGGCAUCAGCACCCAGCUUGGGGACAGGAUUGCAAUGCUGGUACCUGCCCUGAGGACAGCAGUGUCACCCCAGUGCCCAGCUUGGGGACAGCAGUGUCACCCCAGCGCCAGUGCCCACCUUGAGGACUGACACACUGGCACUGGGACUCACCUUGGGGACAGGAUUGCCACACUGGUACGUGCCCUGGGGACAGCAGUGUCACCCCAGCAUUGUCCUGGGGACAGCCGUGUCACCCCUGUGCCAGUGUCCACCUUGGGGACUCACACUGGCACUGGCGCCCAGCUGUGGGGACAGGAUUGUCGCUGUCACCUGUCCUGGGGACAGGGGUGUCACCCUGGCACCGGCCCCGCCCUGGCGACACCGCUGUCCCCCAGCCCUGCCCCGGGCCGUGCCACCGUGUCACCCCCUGGGUCACCACCCCCGCCCUCGGUACCGCGUCCCCCUGGCGGGACAGACUUGGGGACACCCCCGGGCCCUGGGCGGUGACCCUCGGUUCGUUUUUUUGGGCUGAUUUCGGGUUUUUCUCCCUGACAAUUUUUCUAUCUCCACGCGCUCCCCCCGUGUCCCUUUCCAGGGCUCUGUCCCCACCCUGCCCUGGCUGUUCGUCCCCUCCCUCCC